GCACCGCUGAGGAGUCGCAUAACAGAACGAAACGGGCGUCCAGUGC
rfam:Schistosoma rodhaini strain Burundi genome assembly, scaffold: SROB_scaffold0005355